UUUUGCUAGAGCUUUAUUAUGACAUCACAAUUGCCGACUUUUGCUAAAUAGAAGACGCAAUUUGAUUUUGUCUUCAUAUCGUCAUUACUUCCUUCAGCAGACACCAACAUCGGAUUUAUGGAUUCUCUUGUCUAUAAUCCCUCAGCAUUGAGAUAUUUCACCGACUUUUAAGAUAGUCAUGCUGGGACACCGCCUUGAGGGGUAUUUAGUCGAACGAAUUGACCGCAUUACUUUUCUCUAAAGACAGACAAAAGGCCAACAUUUUCGAGAGGAAGGGCAAUCGAUUACAUCAACCCCAGUAAUUGACUGGUACUUUACUUCAUCGACCUAAAAAGGAUGACCGUGGCAAGAUUUAAUUUCAUAACAUAAAGACUUGGAAGAAAUAAAAUCAUUUGACUGCCGCCAUGCUGGGGCACCGCCUUUAAUCGAGCAAAUUGAUCCAAGGACUUAUUCUAUCGGUUUCUUUUGCCGAAUUGCUAACACAUGAGCAUCGGUUGUCAAGUGAUGUUGGGGGGACAAAUACAGACACAAAUAUAUACAUAUAUAUAUACAUAUAUAUGUUUGUAUACGACGGGCUUCUUUCAGUUUCCGUCUACCAAAUCCACUCACAAGGCUCUGGCCGGCCCGAAGCUAUAGUAGAAAACACUUGCCUAACGUGCCACGCAGUGGGACUGAACCCAGAACUUGUGGUUGGUAAGCAAGCUACUUACCACACAGCCACUCCUGCGUCUAUCAUUUAACUUCGGUAGUAGUCGAAUAAUAUUCUUAAGGCCACAAUUUGUUCGCACGCACCAUCUUUCAGAACUUGUCGCUAAUUCAGUUCGUAACCAAAUUAAAAACUUGACACUUUUGAAGAGGACGAGUCGCUAGCAACAUUUUGGCAUAAGAAUUUCAGGUUUGAUCCAGUAGAAAAAAAAUUACAUCAAAAUUUGUAGCAACAUUAUAGGAGAGUAAAUAACGCCACUAAUCAAGUUUAGAUGUAAACUUCUUUUUUAUUUUAUUCGUAAAAUAUAUUUAUCUUAGCUUCAAUGAGAGAAA